GGGCGCAUGUUCUAGCGGUAUGAUUUUCGCUUCGCAUUAACCAAGUGCGGGUAUGUGAAAGGUCCGGGGUUCAAUUCCCCGUGUGUCCA